rnacentral:rRNA from 1 species
GACGAACGCUGGCGGCGUGCUUAACACAUGCAAGUCGAACGGAAAGGCCCCUUUGGGGGUACUCGAGUGGCGAACGGGUGAGUAACACGUGAGUAACCUGCCCUUGACUUCGGGAUAACUUCAGGAAACUGGGGCUAAUACCGGAUAGGAAUCCUUGCUGCAUGGUGGGGGUUGGAAAGCUUCGGCGGUUUUGGAUGGACUCGCGGCUUAUCAGCUUGUUGGUGGGGUAGUGGCUUACCAAGGCUUUGACGGGUAGCCGGCCUGAGAGGGCGACCGGCCACAUUGGGACUGAGAUACGGCCCAGACUCCGACGGGAGGCAGCAGUGGGGAAGAUUGCACAAUGGGCGGAAGCCUGAUGCAGCAACGCCGCGUGCGGGAUGACGGCCUUCGGGUUGUAAACCGCUUUCAGCAGGGGCGAAGCUUGUGGUGACGGUACCUGCAGAAGAAGCACCGGCUAACUACGUG